CAGUGCGUAUACGCUCUUCUUAAAGACAUAAGCCAUGCAUGUGCCAAGUUCAUACAUUUACAAUGUGAGACUGCGGACGGCUCAGUAUAUCAGUUAUAAUCUGCUCGAUUGUUUUGGUUAUUGGAUAACCGUGGGAAAUCUAGAGCUAAUACAUGCAAAGUAGCUGUACCAGUGUAUGCUGGUACAGUGGCAUUUAUUAGAAAAGACCAACCACGUACUUUGUACGUGAGGUGAAUCUAGAUAACUGUGCAGAUCGUAAGCGUAUGCUGACGACAUUUCGAUUGAAUUUCUGCCCUAUCAACUACGUUGGUCGUGUAGAGGACUACCAAGGUUGCUACGGGUACGGGGGAUAAGGGUUCGAUUCCGGAGAGGGAGCCUGAGAAACGGCUACCACAUCCAAGGAAGGCAGCAGGCGCGCAAAUUACCCAAUCCAGACAGUGGGAGGUGGUAACGAGAAGUACCUGAUGACGACGUAAGUUGUCAGUCAGGAAUGGUAGCAAUUUAAGCAAUUGACUAGAGAAACAACUGGAGGGCAAGUCUGGUGCCAGCAGCCGCGGUAAUUCCAGCUCCAGUAGCGUAUCUCAAAGUUGCUGCGCUUGAAACGCUCGUAGUUGGAUCACAAACUGCAAGUUAGUGGGUCGUAUUACGUUGGCAAUAGCCUUGUAGUGAACCAAAGGUGCGUUCUCGUAUCUUUGGAACACUGCAAGUGUCACGUAGUACGGCUUUGAGCUAACAUGUAGUAAUUGCACGUAAGGAUGAGUGUUGGCCUUGAGUGUGCUGACAUUCGUGUCUUACGGGGUGUGCCUUGAGUAAAUCAUAGUGCUCAAAGCAAGCGAAAGCUUGAAUGUUACAGCAUGGAACGGACAAUCGUGUAUGGUGUGUACUGGUUCGGGUAAUGGUAGAGAAAUCUGCCAUUACUUCAGUACGCGACACCGACCGCCAAUUACGGAUGUUGGUUCCGUAUUGGGGUACUGAUUAAGAGGAGCGGUUGGGGGCAUUGGUAUUUGGCAGCGAGAGGUGAAAUUCUUGGACCUGCCAAGGACUAACAAAUGCGAAGGCAUCUGCCCAGACCGUAUCCAUUAAUCAAGAACGAAAGUGAGAGGUUCGAAGGCGAUCAGAUACCGCCCUAGUUCUCACCCUAAACUAUGCCGACCCGGGAUCAGUUUGGAUUGCAUUCCAAGAUCGAGGUUGGUCCCCCUGGGAAACCUGAAGUUUUUCGGUUGCGGGGGGAGUAUGGUCGCAAGGCUGAAACUUAAAGGAAUUGACGGAAGGGCACCACCAGGGGUGGAGCCUGCGGCUUAAUUUGACUCAACACGGGAAAACUUACCUGGUCCGGACAUCAAAAGGAUAGACAGACCAUAGAUCUUUCUUGAUAUGAUGAUUGGUGGUGCAUGGCCGUUCUUAGUUCGUGAAGUGAUUUGUCGGGCUAAUUCCGAUAACGGACGAGACCACGGUCUCCAUUUGACGACUCGCAGAAGGUGGCUGACGAGUCGCUGGUAGCAAUAUCAGUGAUUUGGCAAUCACUGUAGGCAUACCGAGAUGAACUUUGUGUGUGGUUGGUGUUUCGGCAUYGACUAUGCGCGAGGAUUGUCUUGGUGUCCCUGCGAGUAUGCAUCACUGUUGUUGCAAAAUGGCAGUGGUGUAUCAUGGAGAGACAACGGAAUAUAUCACAAAAUCCGAGGAAGUGUGGCUAUAACAGGUCUGUGAUGCCCUUAGAUGUCCAGGGCUGCACGCGCGCUACAAUGGCGGUGACAGCGAGUUUCUGGAUCGAAAGAUCCGGGUAACCUUGUAAUCAUCGCCGUGAUUGGGAUCGACGUUUGUAAUUACGUCGUGAAAGAGGAAUCCCUAGUACGUGCGAUUCAUGAGAUCGCACGGAUUUAGUCCCUGCCCUUUGUACACACCGCCCGUCGCUACUACCGAGUGAAUGGUAUCAUGAUGCCUUGGGAGCGGACGUCAAACCGGAUUCACGUCUGGAGUGACGCUGCAAUCAGCGUAAAGU
rnacentral:rRNA from 1 species